rnacentral:lncRNA from 1 species
GGCAAUUGAGACUUCACAAGGAAUGACAGUCAAGCCAUUGCCUAAAGGCUUCCUGGAUGACAAAGGGCCAGUAGAGCCUUGCAAGGACAGCUUCUGGUGUCCAAUUUUUCUCUAGAGAGAAGACAGUCCACAUGUCACACAGUCAAAUUGGACACUGACUCACUAGUUGACCAAAGCUUGAUGAAAAACAUCUGCACAACUUUGCCUCAGGAAGUUGAGAUCCUUAAGAAAAUCCACGAGCAAACAGGCAUGACUCUGAAAUCAGCUGAAUCAUGGAGCCUAUAUACUGGAAGAGGAGGGAAGGCUGUAAGGUGCAGAGAAGAGCAGGCUUAAAGGCAGAGGAUUUAAGAGAUAGAGGAUGAGUUGCACGAAAUGGAGAGAUCCUACUGAAACCAGAUUGCUCGUCUUCUGAAGACAAUCUUUGCCAAGGUCUUGCUGUUUUUCACAGCUCUUAAGCUAGAUGGUACAAGAGCAGACAUGACCUUCAAUCAAUAUUUUAAUUGAAUUCAUUGAGUUCGCUAGAAACUUGAUCAUACCUGAGUAAAAUGAUAAAAUUUAGAUUCUAAGCCACCCAGGCCAAGAAAUGGAUCCUAUGGAGACUCAUCAACAGACAGACAGCCCAGGAAGUCCACAUCAAACAGCAGGCUGGACAUAGCCAUUUCUUCACCCGAAUACUAAAGCCCUAUACACACACAACACUUUAAUUAGAGGAUCUUCCACAUUCUUUAAAGAAAUAAAGAAUGUUUUGUCACUCUUUUAUUUUUUUAUCCUUCCUGCCUGCCUACCUGCCUUUUUUUUUUUUUACUUCUUUGCUUCUCUUUUUUAAAUUUUCUUUCUUUUCUUUUCUUUCUCUCUAUGUCUCUCUCUCUCUCUCUCUCUCUCUCUCUCUCUGUCUGUCUCUCUCUCUCUCUCCCCUCCACUCCCUUCCAUUCCUUUCUCCUUUCUCUCUGGAAAAUGAAAUAUGUUAACAAAAAUCGAUGAUAAAGAGACUAUUUUCCAGUUCAAACUGAAAAAUGAGUUGUCUUGUAGGAGAAACAAACAAACACAAUGCAACAUGACACUUCUUAACCAAAACUGGCCAAAAUUCCAAUGGAUAUUCACAGAAAAACCCUAAGCUUAAAAUUGAGAACCUUAAAUAGCUCUAUCAGACAACUUAUAUUUCUACAACAGAAGUUUAUUCAAUAAAAUUGUGAGCUGGAGGGAAACAAGCAGAAGUUGACAGACGUAGAAGUGAAGGAUAACAGAGUAUUCAACAAAUGAACCAUAAAUUUCAGAAUUAAGGGAGACUCUAAGUUAUUGUUAUUAUUAAUCAGAAAAUCCAUGUCAAAUUACUAUUUCUGCUGAAGAGAUUUUGGCAACAACAAUACACAGGCUACCUUCUGAACCAGAACCCCAAAAAUGCUUCAAGGAUUAAUAAAUGCAAAGUUAAUUCCAGAAAUAUCUGGUCAUCAGAUCCUCUCACAGAAAGACAUCCAAAAGACAGCUUGGUUCUGCUGCCCUAUGAAAGUUGUUAGAGUUUAUAUAGACUCACUUUUGGUGAAAAGAACCAAAAACAAAAAAAAGAAACCCUAACAAAUAGAGCCAGGAAAAGUCAAGAAUGGAAAGUUCUCGAGCACACAUGACUGAUAACAAGAACUAUCACAGAAGACUGCAGAAAGCACAAUUUGGCAAAAAGGCCAUCACAAACGUAUACAAGAAAUACUUCUGCAAGGACAUCUGCCUUGCAACUGCCUGUCCAACCUCCAGCUGGCGCCACUCUUGUUAUUGAUCCUUGUAGCCAAGAAUAAUGAUGUAAUGCUCCUCAUUUUUUCCUUUAAAAACCUUUGCCUGUCUUCACCUCUCUGAAUAUGCAGAGUUCACUGUGGCAUGCACAUUCCCAUUACAGUGCUCUAUUCCCAAAUAACUAUCAUUUUCUUUUAGAGAGCUUCUCUCUGUCAUUUAGAUUGACAGCCCAAGCUGACAGAUUAUACUACUUAUGCCUGAAGAUUAAUACAACUUUCUCUUCUAAACUUUGCCAAAGGGAAAUGCCUAAAAUAAGUAUAUGCCUCUGGAUAAUCACCCACCUGGUUGUAGCACAUCAACUGAGGUUCCUGGAAACACAUCUGCCUCUGAUGUGAGCUGCACUGCACAUCAUCACUGAAAUGUGAUCAAGAUAACUGGGGGCUUUUGCUCAUUCUCUGGGAGUGGUGAAAGAUCUAAUGACUCCGUGAUCAAAGAGGUGUGGCAAGAAGUUAUCUGAAGAUUUCAGACCUGCCACCUUCUGAUUCUGAAGGAUUAGCUGAGAGAUAAAGAAAAAUAUCUGGCUCCCAUCAGGACAUUAAGUCCACUUCAUUGAUACACAGUGGCCACAAUGUUUCUUUACUCACUCUGUGUUAGUGGUAAAAUGUCUAAUCCUCUACCCCAGAGCAAUCUGAGAUUGCUCUGGUUUUAACACUGAAGGUCCCAAAUCCCAGGAAACUCCCAGGUAAACUGGUAUGGUUGGCCACUCUAGAUAUCUGAGAUAGAUGUCUUCCCCUCUGUGUAAAAAAGACCUGCAGAGAUGCCAACAUGAGACUGUGAAUAGGCUUCCACACAUGCGCAGGUGGCUCUCAGCAUGGGUGGAACAGAAUCACACUGUUCUGGGCCCAAAUCCAGAGAGGCCCUUGUUAUGACACCCUUUUAUUCUGAAAACAGCAAAAGUAAAAAAUUUGGCUCCCCAAAACAGUCACUUUAAGAAUUCUAAUUUUUCUUCUGAAUAUAACAGACAAACUUAUUUUUCACUACCCUAGCCCUGUACACUUUUAAACCGAAUCAUUCAAUUCUGAUCACUGAUUUUUAGCUAAAUGAGGAACACUAUUUAAAUAAUACGCUGCAGUACCUGCAUUGCACAACACAAAAACCCUUGCACUCUGUAUUAGUUAAUGAAUCUCAGGUAAGUAACAAAUUAUUUUAGAUGUCACUAGAACAGCUUUAUUUAAAAAUCCAUAUCAUAAAAGUAAAAUCUUCCCUUCAUUUUAUAACUUAGUCUUUGCAUUAGUUCAUUCUCACAUUGCUACAAAGUAACACCUGAGACUGGGUAAUCUAUAAGAAAAGAGGUUUAAUUGGCUCACAGUUCUGCAGGCUGUAGAGGAAGCGUAGUGGCUUCUGCUUCUGGGGAGGCUUCAGGAAGCUUCCAAUCAUGACAGAAGGCAAAGGGAGGUCACAGGCAUCUCACAUAGUGGGAGCAGGAGCAAUAAAGCGGGGAGGAGGGGAAGGGGGCUACACACUUCUAAACUAUCUACCAUCUCUCCCAAUUUCUUCACAAAGCCACUUCAGUCCUGAAACAUUUACCAGGAAAAGUUUCUUUGUCUGCUUCUGAAUAUGGUUCACCCAUUUGAUUUUCAAUUUUCAUGUUCGGUUAGCCUCCAUCAAAUUUUUCUUUCCAGCCAGCUCUUUUUUUUGUUGCCCCAUAUGAAUAAUGAUUUUUCUUAAGAAGCGGUGGAAAAGAAAAGUUUAAAAUAAAGAAAAAAUGAUAUAGUAAAAUAAACAUGCUGAGAGAAAGGAAAAAUAUAUAUUUAAAGAUGCAUUUUAUAGGGGAGGAAUAUUCAUAUGAAAUCUAACUGGAUCCAUUAGCGGCAAAACACCAGAUUAAAAUAUCGGAACACACCAGAAAGGUAUAUUUUAUUAAAUACUACCAUAGGCAUUUGCAUUACAUUUAUCUCUUCUUUAUUUCCAUAGGGAUGGCACCAGUUAUGUAUUUGGAUAUUAGAAAUUAAUAUUUAAUGACAGCUCAAAAGAGGAAGACCAAAAAUGGAGAAUCCCCCCAAAUUAAGGAAGCAUUCUGAUUAAGAAGAAAGUAUGCUUCCCAGAAGCACCCUCUAAAACUGAUCUCUUUUAGUGUUGUAUAUAAAAAUUAUUUUGAAAAUAAAAAUGUGAUAUUUAGUAAUGGUUAGGAAUUUAUAUAUAUAUACAACAGGACUUCAUGGAGUAAAGUCUAUUAUCCGUUGCUAUUUUCUGAAAAUAUCAUACCCUCACUUAUUUCUGAUUUAAUUUUUUCAGUUUGUUACAAGCAGGCAUUAACAAGAUGGAAAUCAUCAUUGAGAUCCACAAUUCUCUAUGUUCUAUUAAUUAUUUCAAAUGCAGAGCUCUUUUUGUUUUUUGCUCUAUCUUGUAUUUUUAUACAAGAUAUACUUAGUAACAUAGAGAGUAUUUCUAUACUUAGUGAUAUAGAAAGUUUAUAUUUCUUUGAAGUUAACAAACUUUUCACAGAGUAAGGACCAUCAAUAAGAGAAUGUUCUGUGUAAUGCUGUAGGGCCUCUGUUCCCUGAAUCUUGAAUCUUGGGAAAUAUUCAUUCUCAUAGUUUCUUAACAGUGCCUUCCCAAUAUUCUACAACCUUUGGGCAAAACAGUAAAUACACCCUAGAUGUACUAGAAAAAGAAAGAAAAGGAAGAGGAAACACAUUAAGGAUAAUAGAGAGACCAGAGUUUUCAUUUUCAGCAACUUGUUCUAAACUAUAAUUGAUACUUUCUCCUUCACCAUUGAUUCCCUAUUUUCCUUACCUUCGGCCACCUUCAGCUGGUGAAGAUUUUCCUCUGGCGGGGUGAUUUAAACCUUUAUCCUUUGUUCUGAAGAAGCCUGUGUAGGAUGCAGUAGUAUUGUGUUAAUGUUUACUAUUGGCUAUAGCAGUAGAAUGAAGUAUUCCCCGGGCAUCCUUCCCUCCACCACCCACCUCCACCCUCCAUCCCAGUCUUGGUUUCCACGCAUCCAUUUGGUUGCAACAAUCCCCUUUCUUCCUGAUGCUCAACAUUACUUAACA